CAAUCAAUACCUGUUGUUUCAGCCACCCAAUUUGUGGUACUUCCUCAUGGCAGCCUUAGGAAACUAAAUGACGAUUACAAACUGCCAAAAUCUCUCCCUAGCCCCACAGGGCCUUGUCCACGCUCGAGGGGAGAGCUGUGUCCCUCCCCUUUGGCAAACGAACGCGUGAGCUUCCGGCGGUGGGCAAGCACCACCCGGCGCUUCCCAGCUCCUGCUGACAGGACGGACAGCCUAGCAGGAACGGGUGGCCAUUAUCGCGGCAAGACGCGGCGUCACGAAGACGCAGCGCCACUCGCCUCAUCGUUUCUGAACUUGCGCGCGGCGCCUCGACGCGUUCCCUACGUCACUGUUGCGCCGAGGCGGGACUUCCCCCUCACGUCCCGGAAACCGGAAGGGGCUCCGUUCCGCCGGAAAGAGGCGAGACAUGGGACUGAGAUCGGUUCCUGCGUGGCUGCGUCUGUCGUGUAGAGGGAGGACUACCUCUGGCCACCGGCGAGGCGGGUGACAGCAGCGCCCUAGGAGGAAAGCAGGCUGGCGUGUCGGGCUUCAGGGGUGCGGCGGAGAACCGGAGCAGCGGCAAUGUAUAUGGAGUAACACAAUGUGAAGAUGGAACUUUUAUUACCUGUUCCACAGCUUUACACACAAAGGUCUGGGGUUCAUAGAUAUGUGUUCACCCUGGAGGACUUAAUAGCUAGCUGUCAUCUGAGCUCAAUGAAUAUUUGCUGUAAUACCCUGUGGAGAUAUUUACCCACAACAUCUGAAUGAGAAACCAGCUAUAAAGAACUUCUAAGAUCCCCACAAGUCCAGGUAUAUGAGCUCUUUGAAAGCAGAACCCUUUUGUUUUGUGUUCUGCUCAUUCAGAAACUAUGAAGGCACAAUUCCUACCUGUGAUUUGCUUAUGGUCAAGUGAAGUAGACGCAGGUCGAUGGCUGCCAUGUGUGCACUUAAGUAUUCUAAAAGAGAUUUAUCAGCAGGUUGCGGGUGGACAUGGCCUUGAGGUAAAUUCUGCCCCUUGUUGAAGUUUAGUUUCAGCAGAUUAUUUAUGGUAUUUUAAGGAACUGGAAAAAGUUUUGUUUGGUUCUGUUCUACACUUAUUUUUUCUUCUCGUAGGAGAUGAGAAACAGUUUAAACAAAAGUUCUUUAUGCUGAAUAAUUGUGAUGCUUGAAGUUAAUCAUCUGCCUUGCUUAAAUUAAGUGGAUUUUAAAUGUCUAAGCUACUUCUAGAUGGUUUUCUGUUGGUCAAAUAAAAUUUUACCCAAACCUUC